rnacentral:rRNA from 1 species
AAGUAGAGCGGGACACGUGACAUCCUGCUCGAAGAUGGGGGGACCAUCCUCCAAGGCUAAAUACUCGUGAUCGACCGAUAGCGUACCAGUACUGUGAAGGAAAGGUUAAAAGAACCCCGGGAGGGGAGUGAAAUAGAUCCUGAAACCGCAUACAUACAAACAGUAGGAGCCUCGUUAAGGGGUGACUGCGUACCUUUUGCAUAAUGGGUCAGCGACUUACGUUUAAUGGCGAGCUUAACCGUAUAGGGGAGGCGCAGCGAAAGCGAGUUCGAACAGAGCGUUCAGUCGUUAGGCGUAGACCCGAAACCAGAUGAUCUAUCCAUGGCCAGGUUGAAGGUGUGGUAACACACACUGGAGGACCGAACCGACUAGUGUUGCAAAAUUAGCGGAUGAGCUGUGGAUAGGGGUGAAAGGCUAAACAAAUCUGGAGAUAGCUGGUUCUCCCCGAAAACUAUUGAGGUAGUGCCUCGUGUAUGACUCCAGGGGGUAGAGCACUGUUAUGGCUAGGGGGACAUGGCGUCUUACCAAACCAUGGCAAACUCCGAAUACUUGGAAGUUUGAGCACGGGAGACAGAGCACCGGGUGCUAACGUCCGGACUCAAGAGGGAAACAACCCAGACCGCCGGCUAAGGUCCCUAAUAUUGACUAAGUGGAAAACGAAGUGGAAAGGCUAAGACAGUCAGGAAGUUGGCUUAGAAGCAGCCAUCCUUCAAAGAAAGCGUAAUAGCUCACUGAUCGAGUCUUUCUGCGCGGAAGAUGUAACGGGGCUAAGUCAAUAACCGAAGCCGCGGAUUCACACUUAUGUGUGAGUGGUAGGGGAGCGUUCUGUAAGCCUGCGAAGGUGACUCGUAAGGGUUGCUGGAGGUAUCAGAAGUGCGAAUGCUGACAUGAGUAACGUUAAAGCGGGUGAAAAGCCCGCUCGCCGUAAGCCCAAGGUUUCCUGCUCUACGUUCAUCGGAGCAGGGUGAGUCGGCCCCUAAGGUGAGGCUGAGAAGCGUAACUGAUGGGAACAAGGUUAAUAUUCCUUGACCACCGCUGAAUGCGAAGGGGGGACGGAGUAUUGAAGAUCAUCCGGGUGUUGGAUAUCCCGGUUUGCGAGCGUAGGAGGCUGACAGGCAAAUCCGUCAGCGAAUCUCCGAGGCAAAGCAUCGAGCUCUCUUUUGAGCGAAGUGAUUGGAUGUGCUUCCAGGAAAAGCCUCUAAGCUCCAGUUCAGCGGGACCGUACCGCAAACCGACACUGGUGGGCGAGCUGAAUAUGCUCAGGCGCUUGAGAGAACUCAGGAGAAGGAACUCGGCAAAUUGACACCGUAACUUCGGGAUAAGGUGUGCCUUUGUAGCGUGGAGGGAGAAACACCCCGAGCGCGAAGAGGUCUCAGAUAAUCGGUGGCUGCGACUGUUUAUUAAAAACACAGCACUCUGCAAAGACGAAAGUCGACGUAUAGGGUGUGAUGCCUGCCCGGUGCUGGAAGAUUAAUUGAUGGGGUGCAAGCUCCUGAUCGAAGUCCCAGUAAACGGCGGCCGUAACUAUAACGGUCCUAAGGUAGCGAAAUUCCUUGUCGGGCAAGUUCCGACCUGCACGAAUGGCAUAACGAUGGCCACACUGUCUCCUCCUGAGACUCAGUGAAGUUGAAGUGUUUGUGAUGAUGCAAUCUCCCCGCGGCUAGACGGAAAGACCCCAUGAACCUUUACUGUAGCUUUGCAUUGGACUUUGAACCGAUCUGUGUAGGAUAGGCGGGAGCCUGUGAAACCACAACGCCAGUUGUGGCGGAGGCGUCCUUGAAAUACCGCCCUGAUUUGUUUGAGGUUCUAACCUGGGACAGUCAUCCUGUCCGGGGACCGUGCAUGGUAGGCAGUUUGACUGGGGCGGUCUCCUCCUAAAGGGUAACGGAGGAGUGCGAAGGUACGCUAGGUACGGUCGGAAAUCGUGCUGAUAGUGCAAUGGCAAAAGCGUGCUUGACUGCGAGACCCACAAGUCGAGCAGAUACGAAAGUAGGUCAUAGUGAUCCGGUGGCUCUGUAUGGAAGGGCCAUCGCUCAACGGAUAAAAGGUACUCUGGGGAUAACAGGCUGAUACCGCCCAAGAGUUCAUAUCGACGGCGGUGUUUGGCACCUCGAUGUCGGCUCAUC